UGGGGAAUAUUGCGCAAUGGGGGGAACCCUGACGCAGCCAUGCCGCGUGAAUGAAGAAGGCCUUCGGGUUGUAAAGUUCUUUCGGUAUUGAGGAAGGUUGAUGUGUUAAUAGCACAUCAAAUUGACGUUAAAUACAGAAGAAGCACCGGCUAACUCCGUGCCAGCAGCCGCGGUAAUACGGAGGGUGCGAGCGUUAAUCGGAAUAACUGGGCGUAAGGGGCACGCAGGCGGUUAUUUAAGUGAGGUGUGAAAGCCCCGGGCUUAACCUGGGAAUUGCAUUUCAGACUGGGUAACUAGAGUACUUUAGGGAGGGGUAGAAUUCCACGUGUAGCGGUGAAAUGCGUAGAGAUGUGGAGGAAUACCGAAGGCGAAGGCAGCCCCUUGGGAAUGUACUGACGCUCAUGUGCGAAAGCGUGGGGAGCAAACAGGAUUAGAUACCCUGGUAGUCCACGCUGUAAACGCUGUCGAUUUGGGGGUUGGGGUUUAACUCUGGCGCCCGUAGCUAACGUGAUGAAUCGACCGCCUGGGGAGUACGGCCGCAAGGUUA
rnacentral:rRNA from 1 species